rnacentral:rRNA from 1 species
AUUGAACGCUGGCGGCAUGCCUUACACAUGCAAGCCGAACGGUAACAGGUCUUCGGAUGCUGACGAGUGGCGAACGGGUGAGUAAUACAUCGGAACGUGCCUAGUAGUGGGGGAUAACUACUCGAAAGAGUGGCUAAUACCGCAUGAGAUCUACGGAUGAAAGCAGGGGAUCGCAAGACCUUGUGCUACUAGAGCGGCCGAUGGCAGAUUAGGUAGUUGGUGGGAUAAAAGCUUACCAAGCCGACGAUCUGUAGCUGGUCUGAGAGGACGAUCAGCCACACUGGGACUGAGACACAGCCCAGACUCCUACGGGAGGCAGCAGUGGGGAAUUUUGGACAAUGGGCGCAAGCCUGAUCCAGCAAUGCCGCGUGCAGGAUGAAGGCCUUCGGGUUGUAAACUGCUUUUGUACGGAACGAAAAGCCUCUUUCUAAUAAAGAGAGGUCAUGACGGUACCGUAAGAAUAAGCACCGGCUAACUACGUGCCAGCCGCCGCCGUAACAC